CCGCCCUGCCAGCUCCGAAGCCCGUGUCCUUGUCCUAAGCUCACCUCUCCUCCCUUUUCUGCCCCCAGCUGGCCCCAGGCAGAGGAGCAGAGACAGAAAGUGCAUGAGAUUGAACUUGGCAGGAUCUUUCUGGAAGCUGUGCUGAGGAUGGGGAGGACAGGAAGAAGCAGCUGGGGAGAAUUUGGUGAGCCUGACCCCUGCAGUAGGGCAGGUGCAAUGCUGCUGAGGAAAAUGAAGCUGAUCCUCGGGCUUCUGCUGUCCAUGGCAUGGCCCAUGCUCCAUGCAAACAUCACCCUGACUGGGAAACAAAGGCUGAGCAAUCGCUACUUGCUCAUUUCCAAGCAGUGCCAUAAGUUCUGCCCAUUUUUGGAAUACUAUUACCAAAAGUUUUCACAUGAGAAAGAAGGUCCAAAUGCAUUUGUCUAUUCCCAUUGUUGUGCUGAGAAUUUAUGCAAUGUUGGCAUCCCCUCCAUCUCUGAGAGUGACACAGACAUCUAUAGCCAAUAUACUGUUCAAGGCAUUGCUCACCUCAGGGCCAGCAAUAUGGGGCUGGUGAUAUUUCUAAGCUUCCUGCCUGUCCUGCUCCAGGUUAGGAAGACUCUCUGUCUGCUGUGACAUUGGACUGUAUUUUCCAGAAGCCCAUGCAAGUUGGUUGGCCCCUGGAGACUUCCUCUGCCUAGAAAAAUCGGUCUCUAAGAAGCCUCUACUGCAAAAAAAAAAAAAAAAGUAAUAAAUGUGCUACUUAAGGGUUAAAAAAAGUCA
rnacentral:lncRNA from 1 species